rnacentral:lncRNA from 1 species
CUUUACUGAAGAAAUGUGUCUUUAUCUAAAAAAAAACUACUACAUUGUAGUACUAGUUUAUAAGUAACAGACAUAAAAACAAUUUAUUUUACUCCAUUCCAAGCUUAAAUAAUCUUCACAGGCCUUUCUUUGGCUUGUGGAGAUUAUUAACACUUGGAAUGGAGUAAAAUAAAUGUUUACUUCUUCAUUGAGGCAUCUGUUACUGGUUAACUAGUACUUGUAGUCUUUUUGAAGAUUUGUUUGAGAAAAUUGCUUGGUUCAAAGGUUUAAAUUAUGGUGCCAAUCAACAGGUGAUAACUGUUACAGUAUAUAGUCAUAUACAAUGUAGUGCUUUCCUUGUGUACUGAUAAAAUGUUUGACUUUUAACUAGCAAUAGUAUAUACACAACAGCCCGGGUGGAUUUUGCUUUUUCCACCGGCCCACCCUAGCUAUAAUCUCUUUUUUGUAAAAAUAGUGAUUACAAAUGCUUAUCUGCUUUUUUCAAUUGACUGUACUUGCCAGUCUGUUGAUAAAACAAAAGAAAUUGCAUGCCCACUCCUAUGGGUGGGCAGAGUGGACAAGCUAGAAAUUUUGCCCACCCGGUGCCCACUCCCACAGUGGACGGGUGGACAAAGCAAAAUCCACCUGAGCUGUAGUGUAGACUUCAACUUCUUUAUACAUGUUUGAAGAAUUUGUCCUUAUAACUUGUAAAACUGUAAUGUUCACACGCCACUUAUUAAUUUUUUUCACAACCUUGUAAAUUUUUUAUAGUAAAUUGGUUAAAAACAAAAAACUUCUGGAAAAAGCAAAAUCAUUGUGACGUGUUGUGUAUAUACAGCUUUUUAGAAAUUAAAAUUAAAUCGUGAUAUGAUAUAUUUUGGACCAAGGAGUCAAAGUCAGAACCAUGUAUUUAAUGUCCUGAAUAUGACUUGUAAAUUACUGAAUUAGGAAAAGAUUCUUUAAAACUUGGUAAUUUGUGUCUCAUUAGUAACUUAAAUGAUACCUAGACCUUCUACAAAAAUGAAUUGUUGAUGUUAAUAUAUAAUAUAAAUAAAGACAGAUUCUUAAAAGCUUGGCUUAAAAGUGUUCAAUAUUUGUGAUACUAAAUGUGGAUAUUUGUUCAGUCUGUGAUAAUUAAUUGAAUGUAUAAAAUACAUAAGUCCAUGUACAAUGUAGUACAAAUGUAUAUAUAUAUAUGUGUCAUUUUGUCAGAACUUUUACAUUCGUCAGAUACACAUAAAUGUUGAAUAAGUUGAAUAAUGCAGACAAGUUAUUAGAGUAUGAGUAUAUAAUUUUACAACAGGUAACUUACUGUACCUUUCUGUACGGUCAGCUGCUAGGACAUUUGGGUCAAGUAAGAAGCAACCAAAAAAAAGUAAAAUCAAGCUUGGGGAAAAGAAAUAACAGUUUUAUGUUUUCUAUUAAGGUGGUACCCAACACUUUCACUAAAAUUAAUUUGGCUCGUUUAAUAUUCAUAAAAUUUUGUCAAAGUAAAUUAACAAAAAUGUAAAAAAUAUGAACCAACCGUUUUGUCAGAAAAAUUACACUGGUUAUAUAGCAGUUUGACAAACACUUAUUUUGAUCAUUGAGAAGCUUAAUAUUCCUAUUACAACACAACGUAAUUAAAACGUUUAUCUGACUUUACAGAGUUAUCUCCCUGUAGCGUUUGGUACCACCUUAAGAAUGAAAACAUAUGAAAACAGUUAUCCCCGCCCCCCUAAUUGGAUUAUUUGUAAGCUUGAUUUCACCUUUAUAAUUCCUCUUACUGGACCUUGUACAGGAAUGUUCUUUUCCAAUAUGUAACCUGUUGAAAAUUAUGUACAUUCACUUGGGAGUCAAAAAGUCAAUAAUAUAAGAAUAGUCCAUAACUAUGUAUUGUAUUUUCUUUAUGUUGCUCCUUGUUUUAAUAAACUGAGAACAUUCUUAUGCAAUAGUAUGUGUACAUGCACAUUGUAUGUGUGUAUUAUUGUUUGUUUUUUUAAUUGUCACUUGUUUUUUCUGUGAUAUAUUGUACAAUGUUUUUUAAAUUAUAUUCAGCCCAUUUUGAGAAUGGAAGUAUCACUAUUCACUAGGUCUUAAUCUUUCAUGUGUCAAGGUGGUCUUUGACAAAUCAGUCAGUAAGAUUUUGUAAAAUAGGGAUAAAUAUAGAUACACCUUAUAAAAAUUGUCAAUAACAAGUUGAAAAAAGGUCAAAGUGACUUACGGUUUAUGCUUCAGUUUUCUUUGAUAUGGCAUUGAUACACCAUGAAACUUGAUUGUUUGAACUUGCAUCCAGGGGCAUUAGGGUAACAGUCCAGAAUUACAUACAAUAUAUAUUUAAAUCAAGUAAUUAUUUGUAGAUACAUGUACAUGCAUUUAACAGAUGUUAAUGGAUAACAUUCCAAUAUCAUUUACAAAUUUUGGUGGAAGAAGUGUACUUUGUUUAUCUUUGUUUUCGGAUAGAUUAGUGUUAAGUUUGCAUUGUUACAUACCGUAUCAGAAUAUGUUCAUAAUCUUUUUCUUCUCUUAACAUAGUGAAAUUGUGCCAAACUUCAGUUAAUGGGACCAUAUGUACUGAUUAUUGGACCUAAUUGUUAUACAUGUACUUCAAACGUUUGUUAAACCUAAUAUUCUUAUUACAUUUAAAUGUUUACUCCCAUUUGUAAGAGGCAUUCCAUGAGAUGUUCCAGUAGUAUGAAAACAUGUUUUUUAUUUCUCUGAACAAAAUUGCUGUAGUUUCCAUAAACAAAUGUGAUUUCUCCACAGUAAAAGUUAUCUGUAAGUUAAUCCAAAAGCAAUACAGUAUAAGAUAUAAAAACAAAAGCUUAAACAUAUAACAAGUUUUUUUCUUUUACAAGUACAUGUACAUUGUUUUUGUACUUUUUGUUCACUGUUAACUCACCCUUUAAGUACAUGUAUUACAGAAUACACUUUAUUUUGUUGUUAUAUUUGAUGAUUGCUUGUAGUUUUCAUGUUUAUAAUUUUUGCUUUUAGUAGAAAAUUUUGAACCUCAUACAAUUUUAGUAUAGUAAUACAAUUGUCUUAAAUAUUCUCCAAGAUUAAGGUUAAUAUUUCUGCCACCACUUUUUUCAAACCUUUCUAGAUUUUUAGAUUCUAGAUAAAGGCAUAAGCAAUCUAUGAGCUUGUCCAAACAAUCAUGAUAUCCUGAAAGACUACAUCAAAAUAUGCAAUAGCCUUUCAAGAGUCAUAAUGUUUUGGGCUAUCUAUGGCAUGACACUAUGGGAAUGUUCAUUUCAAUUGAAAAUAUAAUUCAUCAUGUUACAAAUUGGAGGAAAAGAACAAUUAAUUACUGUUGAAAAAUAUCUCCUUUUAUGUACAAGAAAAAUUAAUAAAUCAAAUCUUAGUAUGGAAAACACAUCACAAUAGACGUGAAGCUAGGGCCUAAUCUUGAUAACCGUAUUUUAAACUUGACACAUUAUUUUCUAACUUUUGUAUAUAUCUCUUACAUAGGUAAUCAGAGAGUGGUAAAAUUUUAUCUUUUUUGGUUUUAUUUUGUAUCUUUUUUGUGAGAAGCUUUUAUAGGAGUUUUACAUUUCUCUUGCCCCUGUUUAUGUUUUGCUAGGAGAAGUGUUAGUAUAUUUUAAGUUUUCUGAUAGUGAAAGGUUAAUUAAGUGAGAUUAGUAUUAUUGGUUAUCUAUAUAAAUUGAAUGCAUUAUAUAUUUUCAAAUUUGCCGUCCUAAAUAACUAAUUUGAGCAAAAUAUUAAAACAGUAUUUUAUUUAUUUUUGUUUGAUUUAUCUCCCUUAGUUCAUCUUGUUAAUUUGUACAUUUGUUAAAAUCUGCUGGGUGACAAUAUGAAA